ACAACGAUCGUGUAACAUCGUCUGCGCGUGCGUAACAAUCACGUUUUUCCCUACGUGUAAUCGGCGAAGUAACUUCAGUUCUUUUCGUGUCUCUCCCUUUCGUUUACGCGACGCAUACGCGGAGAGUAACGUUUGCGCGAAAAUAUUCGACUAAUCACGGCUCUCCGUCGCUGUUGGACUGGAAUUAGUUUUCGUUAAGGAGCCUGUUUAGUUUGGAGUUUUAAAAGUUGGACGAUAUUUGGAAUUGUUCAUUUUUUACUCAUGUUUAUCGAUGUGUUGCGGAGCUAUCGAAAUUAUCUCAAGUAUUUAAUUAAACGAUCGGUUCGAGGUCUCCAAAUAAAUUUUUCAUCACGAAUAAUACACAAGUGUAAUGUAUUUAUAAUGAAAAAUUUAUUUCGAAACGUUACGUUCUGUCCUCCAAUUUAGAUGCAUUUCAUUGUCAGACUUACGAGACUGUAACUGCUUUCGAUGCUACAAUCGGUCAGAAAAUGUACAAAAAAAGUAACAUCGAUUCUUCUCACCUCCAAAGCUAGACAGACACCUUAACGGCGAAAAUGAUUACACCGCCUACGAAUCAUCACGGAAUCGUCAAUUAUUAAAUUACGUGCGUUGUUGGAUCUCAGUUGCGACUCUUAAUUGGCCAGUAUUGAGAAAUCGGAAAAUUCUAGUCUCCAAGCGUUCCAGAGGAUCGUCAUCCCUGGAGAAGCUUCGUGGUAUAGGAGCAGUUCGAAACAAACGUCAAUGACAAGGGUCAUUCGACAAUUUUAUGAUGAAUUCGUAAUGAAUUCGAGUUCGUGACGACAUUUGUGUGUCAUAGUUAACCCUUCGAGCUCGACUCCCGUACAGUGUAUAACGAAGAGCACGAAAGCUGUGGCAAGACCACCGCGCAAGUGUACAUAGCGCAGGUUUUCGAUUGGCGAAGAGACACCGAGUACUUGCACCCAUCGGAGACCUUCACUCCUUGCCCCAACUUUCGCGCUCCCACGUACCUUUGUGUUUCCGUGUUUGCGAAUCAAACUUUAUCGUCCGAAGACGAUGCAUAGUUACCUAUUUUUCCGAACAACUUUUUUACGACACUCCAUCGAAAGUCAGGAAAAUUGAUAAGCUGUUUUACACAGAUUAAGAUUGAAAGUAUCGUGCUCGAAGGAGAAUAUACACCACGAGGCUUCACACUGCUUCCGUAGUAGGCCUAGAUUAGUGGGGAUCAAGCGCGAAUCCCUUCUCACCCUCUGUUUAAGAUUCUCAGUUGCAAAUGAAAACGUUUGAAAUUCUCCAACAAGUGUUCGACGCUCCCGAAGGAAGAAGGGAUCGAGCUUGAGCGACUUCCACGUCAGAGACUAGGAUUUUAGGAUACAAGAGAUCUAGAUUGUUCCGUGCGAUGAAAUUGAUCGCGAUUCGGUGCGAAGGAAACGCUUACGGAACGAACACGGUCCAAAGAGAACGGCCGCCUUUCUCUUGCCGCGCAGAUGUUCCCUCUCCGUUCGAGUAUGUCCUACAAACUACGUGGCAUUUCUUCUUCGUAAUGGUUUACUUCCCCUCCCCCUCCCCCAAUCUUUUGUAAGCUUACAUUUUACACCGAUCAUCGCUGUACAGAGCAUUGUUCCGCGAAACUCUGGUCUGCUUUAACUGAACGACGAGAAAAGUUAACGAACGAGGAGACUCGGUGCACCAAUGGGCACUACUCGGCGAAGCUUGUACUCGCGAAACGACGGGCACAAUUUUUUCACUUCUUCCAUGAAUGCUGCGAUUUUCUCGUUCAAUUAGGAAACAAGCUGUAGAGGAAACAAAAAGAAAAAAAAAAAAAUCGUUCAAAAACAGCGAUCGACGAAGAGCGUCGUUUGUCCCGUUGAUUUCGAGGGAACAAGUGUCGCGAGUCCGAUGAGGUUACACAAAAAAAAAACAAAAAAAAAAAGAAGAUGAAGCAGAAGGUCAGAACUUUUGUUCUGUCGUUCCAACGAAUAGAGGUCGACGAGUUUAUCGUAAGCUGUAAAUCGUAGAUAAUAUUAAGGAUAAUCGAGUCGCGAUCUCUGUAAUGAUGACGAUAAAACGCUGAGCGAUGAGACGACGACAUCACCGACGACGUAUAGUGGUGUCGAUGUAACGAGAACCGAGAAACACCGAUAACGAUUUUCCCCUUUCCGUGUCUCUUUGAUAAACUCCGUCGCGGAUACGAUGCAAUUUGCUGUCAAAUUUAGGGUACGUAAGGAUAGAGUUGUAAAAGUAUAUCUAUUAUUGUACGUAAACAAAAACAACCGCAAAGAAGUACGUUUAAGGUUCGGCUAGGUGGACGCGUCGAGCGCGACGCGCUUAAACGCCUCGACGAACGCCCGUUUCGCGCGAGAUGGGGAGGAUCGAUUGAUAAUAACGAUGCAACAAUAACAAUUGUACAUAACGAGGAAGAGAGAAUGAGAGAGAACAAAAUCGAAUUCGUUCGCGCGAGCCGUGACAAGCGCACGAUAUAAAAUAUUUUGUUAUGCAAACGGUGAAGAAGUUCGAUGUUUUUUGGGGACGAAAGGAUGGCUGUGUGAUUUUCAAAGUCGUCCAACCGGAGUUUCCCCGACGUUUCCGAGUCGUGUUGGAAUAUUCGUGGCCUCGGUAGUUGUAUAACGAGUAUUCGAGUAACGGCAUGGACGAAGGGUGGCAAGAGAGAAGAAGAGAAGAGAAACACCGUCGUUACGCGCAACAACGAGAUUUCCUUUUAUCAUUCCCAAAGCUCGUCUGCCAUUCUUGGUCGCUUCCAUGUUUAAACGUGAAUGGGAGAAGCAUCGAUAAUACAUUCCGGUUGAAUCGCCGAUCUCGAGAUAUCGCCCACGAUCACAAUUCAUUCAGGAAGAGGGAAUCUCGACCGGAGGGACCGAUCUUACACGGGAGAGAUAGAUUUGCAGCCGCCGGUACUCCUGUCGAAUUUUCUUCCAUUGAAGAUGGAAGACCAAGACUGAAGCGAACGAGACAAGAGGAUAACGGGAGGGCUUAACGAUGGCGCGAUCGACGAAGAAUGAGAUCAUCGAUUGGCCACCUUUCGACGCGCAUCCCGUUGUUUCUCUUGGCGAAACAAUUGUCUCGUGUUUGCGCGUCCGACGUGAAUAGGAUUGCUCGAAGAAACUGUAUCGGAAGUGACGUGCCAGUAGGUCUAGUCGUUGGGGGAAAGAGGAAGACUCGACAUUUUUUCAAGCAUCGUCCAUUACGAGGCCCCGACAGAGGAACAAUUAUUUUUUGCCGUUUUUUUCUCCUAUCUAAGAGGAAACGAUCUAGAAGUUUCCAUUAUAGAAGUAACAGCGCAAACGUGUUGAAUGCGAACGGCUACGUUGCGUGAAAACGAUCGAGAGAUCCUCCGGAAAUGAAGGGAAACACAUUGGAGAGCCAGUAAUAUUUCGCGAACGAUAGAAGUAGGCGGAUAAACAAGUUGGUAUCUAAACCGUAAACGUUUAUAUCGUAAUUUUGGUACUGUUAUUCGGUAUCUACACGCAUUUGCAAGGAUACGUUCGUGUAUCGCUGUAGUACGAAGACGAAGAAGAAGAAGAUGAAGAUGAAGAUGAAGAUGAAGAAGAAGAAGAAGAAGAAGAAGAAGAAGAAGAAGAAGAAGAAGAAGAAGAAGACGAUUGGUAGCAGCACCGAAGUGAAAGAUUGGAACGAGAGGGAAGAAACGUGUCUUUCAAGAUCGUCGAUUCGAAGAAAGUGAGAAACGAAUCGAAGAAGGAACGAAGAGUGACGAUUGUGUGUGGAAAACAAUGAAGAAAAAAUAUAAAACGCUGUCUGCGUUGAUCAUUUUGGGAUUGAAAUCGGAUCUAAGAGCGAAGCUGGAACGAAUGUGAGGAUUUCUAAAAAAUGAUCAGAAAAAAAUGUCUUUUUGAGAACAAAAAGCGCCAAAAAAAAUCUGUGUAUAAAGUCAGUCGAGAAUGUGUAUGCAUGUGUGACAGAGGGGAUGAAUGAAUGAGAUGGAUCGAGGAAAGGAAAGAUGCGAUAAGCAUGGAGCAAGUGACAAAGAAGACGAAUAUUGAUAAGAAGAAGAAAGAAAACAGAAGCGUUGGUGUGCAAUAAUCGUCAGGAAUGGUUUUUAUCAACUUCCUGGCGCGAAAGUUCAAAGACAAGUCGAUGGAAGAACAAAUUUUUGGUUCCUCUUCCGUCUGCGGACAAAGUAUAUGCGAGGAUCUUUUUUAGAAAGAUGGAAGGAGAAGUUUCCGAUGCUAUUCGCGAAACGUUUCUCAAAAUUGACUUCAUUGAAGAAAAUAUUUCGGUACAGCACAAUUACAUACACACAAGCAUAAAGAUACACAUCCGUAUGACACGUAUGUACAUAACGCGACAGAAGUGCAGGAGAAACAAAUAGAGCCGAUUCGUAAAACGAAACGCGCGUUUAUGUGAGUCACGUGUGCAGAAAAAAAAAAAAAAAGAUUGAUACAAACACCGGGCGCACAUAACCUAACACUGUACAAUUGCAAAUAAACGAUAGAUGGGGAAGCGCAAAAGAUUCCAAGCGGAGAUACAAAAUGGAGAGAAAGCUGUUUCUGUAACGGGAACGCCUGACAAUUUUCGAUUAAGGCCCCGUUACACAGGAAAGAAACACGGUACAACGCCGCGUUCCAAGUUUCUUUGGUGUUUACUUAAACGCAGAUGGAGCCACUUUAUGAACAAAAUGAAAGAUGAAGGAGAACAACAGGAGAAAAUUUGUAACGUUUCCAUAGUAUCGCAAACGAUCCUUUCUGUUCCUUGUCCCCGUCUCGUUUUUCCCAAACUUUUUCCCUACACGCUUUUCUUUGAUACUAGUGAAACAAGAACAUGGCAAGCCACGCUACGAAGCUACCUAGCUUCACCUCUUCACGACUACCCAACGAGAAUCAUCUUUAGUUUCCGUUUCCACCUUAUACCUCAACAAGUCUUAUGCAUAUCCCGUCCACAAUUUCCUUUUACUACACCCUUUUUCUUUAGGGCCCUUCUCAGGGCCCGCAAAUGCAUCAUCUACGGAGCAUCAAUCUCUUGGAUCAACAUGAAUAGAAAAUCUGUCCUUUUCAGGACAAUCUAUUAAAAACUGUCCUUUUCAGGACAAUCUAUUAAAAACUGUCCUUUUCAGGACAAUAUAUCACAGCUGCCAUUUUUGGCUAAGCUUUUCAGUAACUUAUCCUUCGUAAGGACAAAAUUAAUCCUGCCUCAAAAUAAAACAAAAUAAAAUUUGUGUCUGGAUAAAAUCCCAUUGUACCCGAAUUGCUUGUGUCCCUUCUAGGGGUGCGUCGCAAACUUUAAAUUUUCAGCCUGGCCAGCCAGUACUUUGGUGCGUAUAAUGUUAAUCUUUCCAAAUUUUAACGAUUUAAUGUACAUAACCUAACCCCAUCUUUGUUGCAGUCCUGUAAGUUUUAUACGACACAUGUUUGAUUUCCUUUGAAAAUUGAUAACUAUUGCUGACGCAACAGUUUGCGGUACGAACGGGUAAGUAUUGCUCAGCGUGACUUAAGCACAUUUGCGUCGAAACCUCAGAAGGCCAUGGAAGAUAACCGGUAUCGUUCAGGAAGUAUGUCGCGUCACUCGCGUCACGUUUCGCUAGAAAAACAAGCUAGUUUUACCGUAUCGACACGACGUACUUUUCUGACAAGAUUCCAUUUUUGUAUCGUCGUCAAGUGUUACGAUAUAAACUGAUCAACGUUAGUAAAUGUAAUUUUUUGAAACUAGAAUCUUUACUACUUUUAUAGAUCGUCAUGUGUCGAAAAAUAUCGAAGUCACGUUUUAAAAAGUUGUGCUAAGUUUAUAAUUUGUUUUUUAACAGAUGAAUGAGCCUCGAUGGAUUUGGAACGACCACAAAAGAUACUCCUAGCGAUAAAUACGCUACAAGCAUGAAAAAUUAAGUGACUUUAAUAAACUAUUUUCGAUCGUUCAGCCGAUGCAUGUUUCAUUUCGCAGUAUAAUCUUGUAGUUGUCCCACCAGUACAGCUACAGUGUGGUAUACGAAUGCUCCGGGCAAUGCCCUACCAAGAUUAGCAUGUAUACGUGUGGAUUCGCACAAGAACGCUUUAUUAUAGCAGACAAAUCUAGCAUGUAUUAAGAUAUCUGUCUUUCUAACUUUUUUAUUCAUUUAUUCUGAUAAGAUUGUAAGAAGUUAAUCUGUCUUCACACGAUCUUCUUUCGCACCGAUUAAAUGUAAUGAAAUACAGUAUAUGCACUGAAAUUCGUGACGGACAGUGAACUCGAAACUUAAUGGAAACGGUGCGAAGAUUGAUGGCCUUGUUUUGUUGCUUAUACGAAUCAGUAGUCAGACGUUGAACGAAAGCAAGAAGAAAAAAGUCUGCUUAUCGAUUCUCUUUUCUCAAUAUUGUUUUAUGCACGUACUUGUAGCCUGCAAAUAUUUGCCUUGUAUUUUAAAACUUUAUGACGCGCGCAACCGUGUCGUUUAGUAUGACUAAUCGAAAAGACAAAGUCAUGCCUCAAAAACUGAAAGGAAGAGCGUGACGAGCAUAACUGUAUUUUAUAGAAGAGAAAUCGAUUGGUCGCUGUGAGUCAUGUUUCGCUAUUAAAAACUUGAUCGUAUCGAUCGUGGAAUUUUCAUGAAUAUAUUUUUAUAUCGAAGACCAAGUGUUAAUAAAUAUAUUUUUAAGUAAUAACACGGACAAGAUUCUUCCAUUUCUAACUCGUUACUGUUUCUUAGGCUUAGAAGUACCGUCUACCAUCGGUGAUAUUGUACAAUUUUAUGUUCGAGCCAGCCCCAUAAGUUGCCAAUACAUCCUGAUUCCCGAUCAUCCACGUAAAUCCUACGAUAGUAUUUUCAAAGGAAAUCGAGCGCAGGCACGAAUGCUGAACAG